GUUAAGAGCGGCAAAGCCGCGAGAAAGUUGGAAGAUCCGCCCGGAUGUCAUCGUUGGCAGCGUGUUAGGGAGGAGAAGUUAGAGAGAGAAAGAUACGGAGGGAGGGGGAGAGAGAAAAUCUUUGCUCGUCUCUCUUGGUACAAUCCGUCUCAGAAACCACAAAAUAAAUAGUUGUGAGCAGAGAGGCAGCUGGUUUUGAAUUUCAUCCCAAACCCAGAAGCCUCUCUCUCACUCCUCAAUUGCUCAUUUGCAUGUCCGUGAUUGUUUGAAGAAAUUGGUUUUCCUUGGUGGGUUUUCUCUCUUCUGGUGCUGGUGACUUUGUAGUGCAGGGAAGGAAGUGGAGUUUGUGAUGGGGGGAGGGUUUUGGAGUUGAGAGAAUACAGCAUUUUUAGGCAGCUGGGUAUGGCACAGAAUAAACCCAAGAGGCUCUACCAAGUUUGGAAAGGAAGCAAUAACUUUUUCUGUGGCGGGAGAUUAAUUUUUGGUCCUGAUGUGGCAUCUCUUCUUCUGUCUACACUCCUUAUUGCUGGCCCAGCAGUUGCCUUCUGUUUGAAGGUUUAUCUUAAAAUCAAAGAUGAGAAGAACAAGAAUGAGAGUCUAUGGCUUCCUGUGUUAGUUAUUGGCUCAGUUCUUACAAUAUUGGAUUUAACCUUUCUCUUCUUGACUUCUGGUAGAGAUCCUGGAAUAAUCCCUCGAAAUUCAAGGCCUCCAGAAUCAGAUGAAGCAUUUGAUCUAGCUACCCCAUCCAUGGAGUGGGUUAAUGAAAGAACUCCUCAUUUGAAGCUACCUCGAACAAGAGAUGUGAUUGUAAAUGGUCACACAGUAAAAGUGAAGUAUUGUGAUACUUGUUUGCUUUAUCGUCCUCCCCGUGUAUCUCACUGUUCUAUCUGCAACAAUUGCAUUCAGAGAUUCGAUCAUCACUGUCCGUGGGUUGGUCAGUGCAUUGGAAUUCGUAACUAUCCGUUCUUCUUCAUGUUCAUAUCAACCUCAACCAUACUGUGCAUAUAUGUUUUUGUCUUCUCUUGGAUAAACAUAGUUCAACAUGGCAGUCUUCCGAAAGCUUUUGCCAAUGAUAUCCUUUCAGAUAUCCUUUUAGCAUACUGUUUUAUCGCUAUCUGGUUUGUUGGUGGCCUUACAAUCUUCCAUUCCUACUUGAUAUGCACAAACCAGACAACAUAUGAAAACUUCCGGUACCGAUAUGAUAAGAAGGAGAACCCGUAUAACAAAGGAAUGAUUUGGAAUGUCAAAGAAGUUUUUUUCUCCAAAAUCCCUCCUUCAAUGAAUAGAUUCAGAUCAUUCAUUGAGAUGGAUGAACAGAUGAUUGCAGGAUCUGGGACUCCAAAUCACGGGGAAGGUACUAUGAGCUCAAAGGAGAAAAUAGAUAUUGAAAUGGGAACUAGGCAUGCGGAGGACAAUGGUUUAUCACUUCCAAACAUUUUGCGGAAUUUUGACUAUGAUGAUUUGGAGGAUGAUUUGAAGGAUGCAGGGGAACAACGCGGGCCUGCUUUUGACCCCCUUUUUCCCGUUCAGCCAGAAGUAAAAGAAUCUGUGCAAUACUCGGCAGAUGGAGAUAAAAUUACAGAAAGUGUUGCUACAAGGGAUGCGGUGAAAUAUUCUAUGCGAAGCACACCUCUGGGAGAUGAAUUGCAAGCAUCGGUCCAUAGCACCACUUCCUUUGAUGGAGCAAAUGAGGAAACUGAUUGUGGAAAUAAAAAAUCCUAAAACCAUCACCUGUUUUACAAGCAUAAAGGUUUGGCUACAACAUUCUCUUCUAGGGCUAUUGCAUCUCGUGAAGGGUCUUUUGUUUCAGCAGUAAUGGCAGUCAGAGAAUGAGUACACGUGUAGGGUAUUGGGACAUAAUCAUUUGAGAUCUGGAUUGACUUGCUCCCGAGUUACGUUGGAGAGGAUACAGUGGUUCGUUACGUUUCCCUUGUGUUGUGAUAAUGAUUUUGAUAAACUAUGUUAGAACCAUUUGUUACGAGUUAUCAUCCUAUGUGCUUUGAGGUUUGGAACAGAAAACCGAAACCUAAACACAUACCAAAUCGAACUGCACCAAACGGUU